AAAAAGAAGUUGUAGAUAUGGAUAAAGGAGAUGGUUGUACAACACAUUAUAUUGGACCACUCAACUGUACGUUUAAACAUGGUUAAAAUGGGAGCUAUGAAAUACGUGAGCUGCGCAAGUGAUGCACAAGGAAACGGAAGCAGUAUGACCUUUACACAGUGACCUGGCUCAAAUAAUUUCAGGCUGUCAUUAACCAGGCGAGCUCCACUUUCUCUCUGAGGUUGGGUGUUAAUCUGAUGUGGUGCUCUUGGAGAAGCUUGCUUGAGUUCGGCGCUUUCUCAGCACGUGGUGUGUGCUGCCCCUUCAAGCUGCAGGAGUCCCAGAAAGCUGGAAGAGGGGCUCCAGAAACUUGGGAAACCUGGGCCUGUAGCUGGCAUGUGGAAAAGAGGCCUGGAAAAGCACCAUUCCUGUCCAUGAAGCCCCCAGAUGGAACCAGGUCCUGUUCAGAAACCCCAUCUGUGCCUUUGGAGGGACUGCCCUGCGCACACAGGCCCAGCAACCACCAUCUACGGCCCCCAGGACCUAAUCCCCUUCUACUUGGGAUUCAGUGCAUGUUAGCAGACACUGGGCUUGAUUCCUGCCUAGUCCCUGCCAGAUAUCCCAUGCCCACCUCAUUAAGAGAAUGAGGCCACACAAACACACCCAGGCCAUCGUGAUGAUGGAGUGCCUGGGGUCCCACUUGCCCACCCUUCAUUGCUGGUUCAGAGCCAGCUCUGACCACAUUCCUACCCUGAGAUGGGACUCUGGGGACAUUGUCCACCAGGGUCAC
rnacentral:lncRNA from 1 species